UGUUAAAAAUUUUAUUCAUUUUUACUGUUAAAAACUGAAAUACUAACGGAAUAACCAAAUAAUUACACGUAGCAUGCCACAUGUACCUUAUAUUGCUGACAUAAAGUAACCGGUUUUUAUUAGUAGAAAUAGUUAGAAUUUUUAACA
rfam:Gossypium raimondii Chr01_contig_1205, whole genome shotgun sequence.